rnacentral:rRNA from 1 species
CCUACGGGGGGCAGCAGUAGGGAAUCUUCGGCAAUGGACGAAAGUCUGACCGAGCAACGCCGCGUGAGUGAAGAAGGUUUUCGGAUCGUAAAACUCUGUUGUUAGAGAAGAACAAGGAUGAGAGUAACUGUUCAUCCCUUGACGGUAUCUAACCAGAAAGCCACGGCUAACUACGUGCCAGCAGCCGCGGUAAUACGUAGGUGGCAAGCGUUGUCCGGAUUUAUUGGGCGUAAGGCGAGCGCAGGCGGUUUCUUAAGUCUGAUGUGAAAGCCCCCGGCUCAACCGGGGAGGGUCAUUGGAAACUGGGAGACUUGAGUGCAGAAGAGGAGAGUGGAAUUCCAUGUGUAGCGGUGAAAUGCGUAGAUAUAUGGAGGAACACCAGUGGCGAAGGCGGCUCUCUGGUCCGUAACUGACGCUGAGGCUCGAAAGCGUGGGGAGCAAACAGGAUUAGAUACCCCUGUAGUC